rnacentral:rRNA from 1 species
UACGGAGGGGGCUAGCGUUGUUCGGAAUUACUGGGCGUAAAGCGCGCGUAGGCGGCUUUGUAAGUUAGAGGUGAAAGCCCGGAGCUCAACUCCGGAACUGCCUUUAAGACUGCAUCGCUAGAAUUGUGGAGAGGUGAGUGGAAUUCCGAGUGUAGAGGUGAAAUUCGUAGAUAUAUAAAGGAAUGUCAACAGCGAAGGCAACUUUUUGGUAUAAACUGACGUUGAGGGACGAAAGUGUGGGGAGCAAACAGG